GGCCCAGUUCCUCCUCAUUUCCUCCCACCCAUUUUUCCCCUCUUUCUUCUCCGCGCGUGCGCUUUCGGCCGCGAUUUCGUUCGGCGGCGGGGCGCUCCGCUGCAUCGGACUAGGAGCUGCACGCGAGAGGUCCGUGUCGCGGGAACCCCCGAGCUGCGGCGUGGUCGGCGUCGAUUUUCUCCGCGGCGACGAAAGGAGCACCGGUGAGUCCGGUAUGGUUUUGGGUGGCCGGGAAGGAGGAGCUGCAUGUUGUGGGGGAGGGGGAGAAAUCUCCCCGUCCAAAUCCCCCGCAGCAUCCAUGCUGCGCGUUGCAGCUGUUGGGUUUGGGUUUCUAGGCGUAGGGUUUCGAUCCCCUCGGGGAGCAUCCCCGUUUUGCUGCGCGAGGAUGGCACAGGGGCAUUCUGGUGGGCAAAUUCAUGUUCUAUCUCAGUGCGUAGAACACAUGAGAUGUUCUCUGUGUUUUCUCUGGGGUUUGGCCGGGUUUGGGGGGCCAAAUCAUGCGCCAAUUUUUUGGAUGUGACCCUAGCCUGGGAUGUCGUUUUUCUUCAGAUUUUUGCCUUACAAAAUACCUGCAAGUUUUCUGCGUCCAAUAGAGCUAACUCAGUUCAUACUUGUAGAUUGGUUAGGGCCUUCAAGGGGCUGUUGAUGGUACAGAGCCUAUAUAUGUGUGUACAUGUUAUAGCGCUAAUGUCAGGCCCCUAGAUGGUCAGCGCCUGCAUUUGUUUUUCCAGAUGUGUUGCCCAGACUAGUUGUUUCCUACUUCAGAAAUAUGCUACCCCUCGUGCCCUCCUCAAAGCUUCGGUGGUUGGUUUUGCGGAAGGUGUUGUUGUCAUCUUCCUGAGCACAGAGGCUGGGUUGUUCAGAGUUGAGCUCAACUCAGGCCGAAGCAGGAAGAUAUACAGUAAGAUGUUCUUUGAAAAAGUGAUGCUACAUGAGCUUAUACACUGGAGGUACAAACUAGCCCUGUACUGAUUUUUAAAUAUGCAUGUACGAGAAGUCAUGAACAAUAAACAUGACAUACUAUUUUCAGUGCUUUAAUUUUGCUUGUAACUUAGUUCUGAACAAUUUAAACUCGAGAGUUUCCAAUAUGGCAUGUGUGAUCUCUAUACGUCGGACAUGUAGAGUAUUUUCCUUUCAUUAUUCCAUGUAACUAGAUAGACAUUUGUAUCUAGUUCUGCUAGUUUUGUGUGGAAUUGGCCUUAGCUAGAUUAACCGAGCGGCUGACCCAUGCAUGGUGAUUAGUUGUAUAUGUGCUGGUUGCUUUUUAGGAUAUAUGCUGGUCUGAUCAGGUUCUCCGAUUGAGGGGACUGCGCUGUGGAGCGGCAGAGCAUGAGGAGGUGGACGUCAGCUUGGCGAUGUCAUGAUAGCGGCGGAGUGCAAACAGCCGGGUGUUGGACUCGCGGCAUCUCUCGCUGGAGAGACGAGCGCUGUGAUUGAAGGCCUACUGUUUCAUCGAGUUAUUAAGGCUCCCGAGAAUAUUGAGAUCCAGCGUAGGCUCCCCAAGAGGCAAAGGGAAAGAGUUGAUUCUUUGUUUUCAUCUUUAUUAAUACAUGUGUGCCCUUGUUUUUCAAUAUAACUUGCUCACACUUGUCCUGUAGUUGAUAUUUUACUCCCUCCAUCCCAAAUUAACUGUCAUGGAUUUGCAUAUGAAUCUAUGCAAAUCCACGACAGUUAAUUUGGGACAGAGGGAGUAGUUGGCAGUGAGAAUAAUUUAGUUGCUUCAGAUUUUUUAAGUUUUCAAUGGAACAUUACUACGCCAUUUGUUUUUCAAUUGGUUACUCACCUAAACAUGUAAGACCUUUUAUGUGUGGUUUUACUUUGUCGCCCUUUGUUUUUGAUUUAAUCCAGUGAGGCAAUUUUUCCCAAUUAA